rnacentral:rRNA from 1 species
UACAGAGGUCUCAAGCGUUGUUCGGAUUCAUUGGGCGUAAAGGGUGCGUAGGUGGCGGGGUAAGUCAGGUGUGAAAUCUCGGGGCUCAACCCCGAAACUGCACUUGAUACUGCCUUGCUCGAGUACUGGAGAGGAGAUUGGAAUUUACGGUGUAGCAGUGAAAUGCGUAGAUAUCGUAAGGAAGACCAGUGGCGAAGGCGAAUCUCUGGACAGUUCCUGACGCUGAGGCACGAAGGCCAGGGGAGCAAACGGG